CGAAGGGAAACCGAGUCUUAACCGGGCGUUAAGUUGCAGGGUAUAGACCCGAAACCCGGUGAUCUAGCCAUGGGCAGGUUGAAGGUUGGGUAACACUAACUGGAGGACCGAACCGACUAAUGUUGAAAAAUUAGCGGAUGACUUGUGGCUGGGGGUGAAAGGCCAAUCAAACCGGGAGAUAGCUGGUUCUCCCCGAAAGCUAUUUAGGUAGCGCCUCGUGAAUUCAUCUCCGGGGGUAGAGCACUGUUUCGGCAAGGGGGUCAUCCCGACUUACCAACCCGAUGCAAACUGCGAAUACCGGAGAAUGUUAUCACGGGAGACACACGGCGGGUGCUAACGUCCGUCGUGAAGAGGGAAACAACCCAGACCGCCAGCUAAGGUCCCAAAGUCAUGGUUAAGUGGGAAACGAUGUGGGAAGGCCCAGACAGCCAGGAUGUUGGCUUAGAAGCAGCCAUCAUUUAAAGAAAGCGUAAUAGCUCACUGGUCGAGUCGGCCUGCGCGGAAGAUGUAACGGGGCUAAACCAUGCACCGAAGCUGCGGCAGCGACACUGUGUGUUGUUGGGUAGGGGAGCGUUCUGUAAGCCUGUGAAGGUGUGCUGUGAGGCAUGCUGGAGGUAUCAGAAGUG
rnacentral:rRNA from 1 species